rnacentral:hammerhead_ribozyme from 1 species
AUUCAGCUGACGAGUCUCAAAUAGGACGAAGCGAGCAUCAACAUGGAU